rnacentral:rRNA from 1 species
AUACGACCAUGAGACCGAUACCGUGAAGAAAAGUUGAAAAGUACUUUGAAGAGUUAACGAGUACGUGAAACCGUUCAGAGGUAAACCUAAGAAACCCAAAAAAUCGAACGGGGAGAUUCAUCGUCAACGAAACUGGCUUCGCGUCGGUGGGCGAUAACCCCGCGGUGUGUCCUAAGCGGCACGCGCGUGCGGGCACGCUACCGAACGCCGAUGUCCGGUUUUCGUCGUCGUGCACUUCUCCCCUAGUAGAACGUCGCGACUCGCUGUGUGUCGGUCACCGACCCGGGUGCGGUUACUGUCACGUCGCCCGUAAAAACGGCG